CAUACAAAGAAAAACAUCCAGAUGGUCUGGACUGAAGAGAUUUCCCUCGGCUGGCAGAGGAGGAUAGGAUGGAAAUUGGAAUGAUGAUGAGGGAGGAUGGGCAACUGCUGGAAGAGGGGAAAAAAUGGGAAAUUUUGAAGAAAAUGGAACUGGGGCUUGUUAAAACAGCUCAGGAGGGGCAGAUUUUGCUGGAACACAAGAUCCUGGUUCCCAGCUCUUUAAAAACAAGGAAAAGAGGGGCUGUUUAUUGAGAGCUGGAUUGGGAAUUCCAGUCUCCACGUGCCUUCAGCCGGGACCUGCAAUUCCUAUGGAAUCCGUGUUUAACGUAAAUGUCUUCCAUGAGCUGCUUUUAAUUCCCAAUCCUAAAGAAUUUCAGACUUUUGCAAAUGGGAUUCACUCAGUGAGGAAUUUCUGGAGUGCGAAAGGAGCUUUCAAAAAGGUGAGGAGAAAUUAAGGAAUGUGGUUAAAUGUCUUUAUAAAUUUGUGGAAUCAUGGAAUUGUUAAGUUUGGAAAGGACAUCCAAGAUCAUCAAUCCAUCAACCAGCACCACAAUGUUCUCCACCAAAUUUUACUAAACUGGGCGGCUCAAACAGAGAAUUUUCAGGAUGACUCCUCACCCAGAUGUUGGAUUUACCAGAGAAAUACAGGGAGCUGUUGGUUUGAGUGGAAAAGGGGAUUUCUCCUGAAAUGUUGCAAAUGAGGAAAAUAAAUCCAAUCCAGGCAUGGCAAAAAAGGAACUCUCAAAAAUUCCUGUCUGCUGAUCCUCGAUGGAAAAUCUCAGCUCCCAGAUAAACCUCAGGAAUAAAUCUGCACAGGGAAAUUCAGGGAUUGAUCCAGCACUGCUGGAAUUCAGCAUCCUCCUGGAUGCUCUGCCAAGCAGAUCUUCCAUGCUGGAAUUUAUCCUUCGGGAAAACUCAAUACAUUUAUGAUCCAGGAGUUUGUGAUUUAAUCACCUGAGGGAGCUUUCCAUGCUCAGGUUGUUACAAAAAUUCCUAUUCUGGGACCUUCCAAACUUCCUCAGUCUAGGAAUGGUUCAGAUUUAAGUCAGAUUAAUUUGAUCUUCAGGAAAACUCCAGAAAUUUAUAAUCCAGGAAUUUGUGAUUUUAAAGUUUUGUGGGGGGGGUUAAUAGCCUGAGGGACCUUUUCACCCUCACGUUGUUAUCAAAAUUCCCAUUCUGGGACCUUCCAAAGUUCCGUGGCCUAAGAAUUGUUUGGAUUUAAGCCAUAUUUAACACAGAAUUGUUAAACUGAGCGGGCUCUUGACUCCCAUAUUCAGGAUUGCCUUCCCUACAUCAAUUAUUUUAAGGAUCACUCUCUUCAAAUUCUGCUUCCAUAGUUACCUCUUUAAUAUGAUUCAUCUGCAGGGAGAAAAAUAAGAAAGAAAAAGAGCAGGAGUCAGCAAAUGGAGUCUGGCAAGAAAUGAAUCAAAUAAACUCAAAAUCGUGGCCUGGAUUAAAUUCCAUUUGACCAGAGCUGUGCAUUGAGAAGCCCCAUCAGGAUUUAAGAGAAAGGAUUUGAUGACAUCAGCGAUUCCCUGGGUCCAUCCCCAGAGGAUAAUAAAUAAUAUUUCCUCCAAGUUCUGAGUUCAUCCAAAGCAGUUUUUAAGGAGUGUGGGAAGCAUCUCAGGCCUUCAAUUAUUCCACUUUGGAGACCUCAGUGUGACAAUUUGGAAGGGUUUGAAUACUGCUGCAAUUGUCUCUGAGCUUCCUGCAAGGCCCAGAACUGAUAUAAUUCCUUUACUGAACAUUUGUAUCCUCCUUGAGAUGGAAGAGGGAAAUUUCCCUUGGAAUCUGGGAAUUUUUUGUCAUUGGAUUCAUUGACAGCAGUGCUAUUUGAUUCCACUCAGCAAAUGGAAUCUGGCAAGAAAUGAAUCAAAUAAACUCAAAACCGUGGCCUGGAUUAAAUCCCAUUUCAUUGAGAAGCUCCAGUCAGGAUUUAAGAGAAAGGAUUUGAUGACAUCAGCGAUUCCCUGGGUCCAUCCCCAGAGGAUGAUAAAUAAUAUUUCCUCCAAGUUCUGAGUUCAUCCAAAGCAGUUUUUAAGGAGUGUGGGAAGCAUCUCAGGCCUUCAAUUAUUCCACUUUGGAGACCUCGGUGAGACAAUUUGGAAGGGUUUGAAUACUGCUGCAAUUGUCUCUGAGCUUCCUGCAAGGCCCAGAACUGAUUUAAUUCCUUUACUGAACAUUUGCAUCCUCCUUGAGAUGGAAGAGGGAAAUUUCCUUUGGAAUCUGGGAAUUUUUUGUCAUUGGACUCAGUGACAGCAGCACCCAGGAGCACGGAGCCUUUUUGGCUUUGCUCAUCUUCUUGCCCCAGCCCACUUUAAUUCUCCAAACUUUUAAAAUUUGCUAAAAUUUUGUGCAUUUAUUGGUUUCCCCAUAAAUUUCUGGCUAUUCCUGCUUUUCUGCAGGGUCCAGAUGGGCUCAUGCUCUGCUCCAGUGUCUGAGCUGCAGUCACAGCAGGAGAAAAAAGAAUUCCUGCUGCUCCAGCCUGGGCUUUCAAGGGAUUCACGGCAAUGAAUAUUCCUGUGGAACCUGGAGUUGGAAAAACCUAAGGAAAAGGCUGUGGGGAAAAUGGGACUGGAUAAAAGGGAAACAAAUGCUGAAGGUGCUCCAGCUCUUCCCAGACUUUUUGUUGCCCUCAUCCAAAUCUUGUCAAACAAAUUUGCUCGAGGCUGGAGCAGAACAGAACUUGGAUGUUUCUCCUCACAGGGAAUCUAAAAGCUCAGACUUCUCUGAAAAUUGCCCUGGAAAUUUCAAUUCAUUGCAGGAAUUCCUCCCAGUUAAAUCCAUGGAACCUUUCAAAUGUGUUUGACCUUUUCCUUUUCUCCUUUUCCUUUUCCUUUUCCUUUUCCUUUU
ensembl:lncRNA